rnacentral:rRNA from 1 species
CGUGGGGAGCGAACAGGAUUAGAUACCCUGGUAGUCCACGCCGUAAACGAUGAGUGCUAAGUGUUAGGGGGUUUCCGCCCCUUAGUGCUGCAGCUAACGCAUUAAGCACUCCGCCUGGGGAGUACGGUCGCAAGACUGAAACUCAAAGGAAUUGACGGGGGCCCGCACAAGCGGUGGAGCAUGUGGUUUAAUUCGAAGCAACGCGAAGAACCUUACCAGGUCUUGACAUCCUCUGACAAUCCUAGAGAUAGGACGUCCCCUUCGGGGGCAGAGUGACAGGUGGUGCAUGGUUGUCGUCAGCUCGUGUCGUGAGAUGUUGGGUUAAGUCCCGCAACGAGCGCAACCCUUGAUCUUAGUUGCCAGCAUUCAGUUGGGCACUCUAAGGUGACUGCCGGUGACAAACCGGAGGAAGGUGGGGAUGACGUCAAAUCAUCAUGCCCCUUAUGACCUGGGCUACACACGUGCUACAAUGGACAGAACAAAGGGCAGCGAAACCGCGAGGUUAAGCCAAUCCCACAAAUCUGUUCUCAGUUCGGAUCGCAGUCUGCAACUCGACUGCGUGAAGCUGGAAUCGGGUAGUAAUCGCGGAUCAGCAUC